UUUUGAAGAGAUAAAUCAAAUGGGUCUAUAUACUAUUUUAUUCUUGUCCACUCUUGACUCUUCCCAGGUGACUGAGUCGAAAAAAUAAAGUUGCAAGUUGAAACGUAAUAAGAUCAGAAAGAAAGUCGGAGAGAGACAUCUUCCAUCUUUCAUUAAUCAUUCUUCCGUGCCCUAACUCUCUCUCUAGUACUAUACCGAGAUAAAGAGAUGAGAGGCAUAGGAGGACCACUGUUGUGCAUUGGAGAUCUGUUAAGCGAUGUUGGUGAAGCAGAUGACAAAUUGGAGGAUACAACCUAUGCCUCUCUUUUUCAAUCUCAACCUUCUUCUCAUCUUCUUCAUCCCGACCUCCAUUUUCAACCUUCUCGCCUCACCCAACUUUUCCAGGAAAGCUACGAUCAGUUGAACAAGGCACUUGCUGGCUCAGAUCAUUCAUGGACUUCUAUGACAUUGGAGCUGUGUACUACUCUGGAUACUGCAAAGAAGCUGAUAGAGUCCGCCAAUUCAAAUGUGAUGGUGCUAUCAGAGAAUGUUGGGGAACUUGAAAAUAUAAUCAAGAAAGGAGAGUCUGCUAUUGCAGAGGUCAGAUCCAUUCAUAGCUCACUAAGCCAAAGGAUUGAUUCAGCGACUAAGAGAGAAGCCUAAUCAUAGCUUAUCAAGUGCUCAUUGGUUGAAAGUGCAGUAUAAACCAAUCUAUGAUGUUUCAGGCUAAGGUUCCUUCGAAGGCGUGAGCUUUUGCUGCAUCGGGAGACAUAGAUACUAGUGAUACGCUGCAAAAGUAGAGGAUGGGGUUAGCUACCUUGUCAGGUAAUAAACUGGAGAAGGUACCCAUGAUUCUGGGAUAUCAAUGAGCAGGUCAAUCCUUUUAGAGAUGAUGAGGUUUUCAAUCCUUGUAAUAUGUAAAAUGUAAAUGUUAUCCAAAUCUAAGUUACAUCUUGUUGAUUCAAGACAAGGUUGAGUGAAUCUCAUGAUACUGUGUUUUAGAUUGUGUUUAUGCUGCACAUAUCACAUGACAUCAGCUCAAGUCGAUUAUUCGAAGAAAUCUGUGUGAAUCCUGAAGACUUGCUAACACUUUCAGAAACCAGGAAGGGUUGGAAUUUGCUUUCAUGAUGGAUUUGUAUUGAAGAUCCAUGUGAGAUUCAUAUGCUACUUAUUUUGAUGUAUUGAGCGUUGAGCAGAUUUUACAGAGUAAUGUAGGUCUGAAUAUUAAUGUAGCUGAACUCGGAUCCUUCAGUGAAUCAAUACAACCUAAAUCUAACCUGUCA